rnacentral:rRNA from 1 species
GCCGAAUAUUCGCCCCAUUUGCGGAACCGGGUGAGACCUGCAAAACGAGCGGACCACGCGGAACCGGCUCUCUCCUCGCACUCCCGGUCCUAUCGCCUCUCCUACCUGGUGCGCCGCCUCCCGCUCGUCUGUCACUCCCUCGAUCUGCGCCGCACCGCCCACCCCGACUCCUUCCCUCAUCGCCGGCCAACUCCUCCUCUCUCGACCUGCAGCGCUGCUCCACCUCCGGUCCCUGAUCUGGCCAUCCCAGGCUCAUCCCUCGUCUCCCUGUGGCGGAUCGAUUCCCUGGCUCGCGACAGAUGGAUUUCUGGUGGCGCUCCUUAGCAGCAGCGCCCUGCGGCGGAUCAAUUCCCUGGCUGCUUGCGGCGGCAGCGGCGGCCGUGGAGGAGUAGAGCAGCAACCACAGAGCAGCAGCAGCAGCAGAGCCUGGCAAGAAGUGGCUAGCAGGCAGCGGAGCAGCAGCAACAGAGAGCAGCAUCGGCUAGUACAGAGACAAGUAUAGCAGCAGUAUAGGAAUUGCAGGGUGCGUAUGUUGGAUUUAUUCAACAGAGAGCUUAAUUAGUAUAGCAGCAGCAUUAGUUUUUCAUGAUUUUUGCUUGAUGCGUAUGUUGAAUUGCUUACUCUGUUGUUUCUCAUAACUUGACUACUCUGUUGCUGAAAAUACAAAGAGUUAAAAUUAUUCAUCUUGUUGCUGAAAAUCAUUCCAUUCUAACUCCCGAACCAAACACCGGAACGUA